ensembl:snRNA U6 U6 spliceosomal RNA
GCUCACUUCAACAGAGCAUAUACCACAAUUAGAAUGAUACAGAGAAGAUUAGCAUGGAGCCAGCCCAAGGAUGUCAAGCAAAUGUGUGAAGUUUUCCACUUGUUU